rnacentral:sRNA from 1 species
GGCGGGGCAGGGGCAGGUGUAGCCUCUGUGCCUCGUUGUCCCCUGGCGCUACCCGGACAUCGCUCAGGGUGCCGGCACCAUGAAGAUCUGGACUUCGGAGCACGUCUUUGACCACCCGUGGGAAACUGUUACAACAGCUGCAAUGCAGAAAUACCCAAACCCUAUGAACCCAAGUGUGGUUGGAGUUGAUGUGUUGGACAGACAUAUAGAUCUCUCUGGAAAGUUGCACAGCCACAGACUUCUCAGCACAGAGUGGGGACUGCCUUCCAUUGUGAAGUCUGUAAGUGUGUCUUUAUUCCCAGAGAAAUGUGACUGCUGUAGAGAAGUUUUCUAAACCGCAUUAUACUUUCAAAUAGGUUGUGGGAGCGGAUUCUGAAUGUCAUUUUUUGCAUCCAUUCAAGUUGUAUUAUAAUAAACUUGAAUUAUGAGUGUAUAAUGAAUUGGAAAUAUUAUUACAGUCUUCAUGAAGGCACCCGAUAAAAUUUUCUUAAGGAAGCCAGCUAAUGCCAUGUGAUCUGAAAGGAGUUCUAUUCUGCUUUUUCUGCUUUUGCCAGCGACUUGAGACCAAUACUAAGGUUUGGCAGUAAUGGUCUGGUCAUAAUUGUUAGGUGA